rnacentral:rRNA from 1 species
CAUAACAUCUUCGGGACGAAAGUCCUGACGAUCAAAGCGGGGUCGCAAGAUCUCGCGCUACCGGAUGGGCCCGCGCCCGAUUAGCUAGUUGGUGAGGUAACGGCUCACCAAGGCUUCGAUCGGUAACCGGCCUGAGAGGGCGAUCGGUCACACCGGAACUGAGACACGGUCCGGACUCCUACGGGAGGCAGCAGUGGGGAAUCUUGCGCAAUGGGCGAAAGCCUGACGCAGCAACGCCGCGUGGAGGAUGAAGGCCCUUGGGUUGUAAACUCCUGUCGGCUGGGAAGAAAUCGUUCGCGGSUCAUACCCGCGGACGUUGACUGUACCAGCAAAGGAAGCCCCGGCUAACUCUGUGCCAGCAGCCGCGGUAAUACAGAGGGGGCUAGCGUUAUUCGGAAUUAUUGGGCGUAAA